UCAGGUGGCUGGAUGGCCGCUUUCCGACAAUAGGGAAACCCGUCGGGAAGAGGAAAGUCCGGGCUCCAUGGAAACACGAUGCCGGGUAACACCCGGCGGGGGCAAUCCCAGGGAAAGUGCCACAGAAAGCAAACCGCCUGACCUUGCGUCAGGUAAGGGUGAAAGGGUGUGGUAAGAGCGCACCGCGAAAUUGGCAACAAUUUUGGCACGGUAAACCCCAUCGGGAGCAAGACCGAAUAGGGGCGGUAUUAUGGCGAGUUUUCACGCUGUCGCCCGGGUAGGUCGCGCGAGGCGUUUGGUAACAAACGUCUCAGAUGAAUGGUCAUCCGUCUCUUAUGAGAUAGACAGAACCCGGCUUACACGCCAUCUGAUGCA
rnacentral:RNase_P_RNA from 1 species